rnacentral:rRNA from 1 species
GACGAACCGUGCGAACGUUGUUCGGAUUCACUGGGCUUAAAGGGCGCGUAGGCGGGUCCACCUGUCAGGGGUGAAAGCUCCCGGCCCAACCGGGAAAGUGCCUUUGAUACUGUGGAUCUCGAGGGAGGUAGGGGCACGCGGAACUUCCGGUGGAGCGGUGAAAUGCGUAGAUAUCGGAAGGAACGCCGGUGGCGAAAGCGGCGUGCUGGACCUCUACUGACGCUGAGGCGCGAAAGCCAGGGGAGCAAACGGG